GAGGGGCUCGCGGCCUAUCAGCUAGUUGGCGGGGUAACGGCCCACCAAGGCUAUGACGGGUAGCUGGUCUGAGAGGACGACCAGCCACACGGGGACUGAGACACGGCCCCGACUCCUACGGGAGGCAGCAGUGGGGAAUUUUCCGCAAUGGGCGAAAGCCUGACGGAGUGACGCCGCGUGUGGGACGAAGGCCUUCGGGUCGUAAACCACUGUCAGUGGGAAAGAUGGGUGUCGGCGCUAAUACCGCCGGCAUCUGACGGUACCUGCAGAGGAAGCCCCGGCCAACUCUGUGCCAGCAGCCGCGGUAAGACAGAGGGGGCAAGCGUUGCUCGGAAUUACUGGGCGUAAAGGGCGCGUAGGCGGGAUGGCAAGUCGGUCGUGAAAUCCCUCGGCUCAACUGAGGAAUGUCGAUCGAUACUGCUGUUCUUGAGGAUUGCAGAGGAGACUGGAAUUCCCGGUGUAGCGGUGAAAUGUGUAGAGAUCGGGAGG
rnacentral:rRNA from 2 species